UGCUAAGUAGUUUAAAAAAAACAAUAUAUUUUCAUUAUAUAAUUAAAUUAAUUUUCUAAGCUU
rnacentral:tRNA from 1 species